UCGACUGUUUAUCAAAAACAUAGCCAUAAGCAAAUACAUUUAUGGUAUUAUCUGCCCGGUGAAAAUUUUAACGGCCGCAGUACCUUGACUGUGCAAAGGUAGCAUAAUCACUUGACUUUUAAAUGGAGCCUGGAAUGAAAGAAAGAACGUAUACAACUUGUCUUGCUAAUAAUAAUUUAAAAUUACUGUAUGAGUGAAAAUACUCAUAUAUUAUAAAAUAGACGAGAAGACCCUUAGAAUUUUAAAAAUAUAAAAGGAAAAACUUAUAAGAUUUUUUGUUGGGGCAACAAUAUUUCAUAUAAUAAAUAUUAUAAGGAUGAAUAAGUCGAUUUAAUAGUGAUAGAAAAAUUACCUAAGGGAUAACAGCAUAAUUUAAUAAUAAGCUUGUGAC
rnacentral:rRNA from 1 species